rnacentral:lncRNA from 1 species
UAUAUAUAUGAUAAUGAUAUUGUUGAUGGCAAGCAAAGUUUUGUGAUGUUGGUCGAUGAUGAAGCCACAUAAAGAAAUUGGAAAUAAUUAUACAUACUAGAAAACUGGAAGUAAUUAAAAGUUUGUUGGGGGUUUUGUGCUAUUCAUAGUUACAUGCAUUUCAUUUUCAUGGUUGCCUAUAUAAUUAAUUGUAUUUAGUGCUUUCCCUUUUCAUAUUUAUCAAGUCUGGUUACAAUUGAAUUUUUUUCCUUUAAGUUAUUGCCAGCUUUUCACUUUUAGAGACAAACAUUUACAAAUGAUUUUUUUAACUGGGAUUAAAGUUAAAUUAUUAGUUUUACUAUACAAUUCAAUAUUUA